AGUGGCGGAUGGGUGAGUAACACGUGAGAAUCUGCCAACUGGACGGGGAUAACAGAGGGAAACCGCUGCUAAGACCCGAUAAACCGAGAGGGGAAAAAUUAAUUGCCAGUUGAUGAGCUCGCGACGGAUUAGCUAGUUGGUAGUGUAAGGGACUACCAAGGCGACGAUCCGUAGCCGGUCUGAGAGGACGAUCGGCCACACUGGGACUGAGACACGGCCCAGACUCCUACGGGAGGCAGCAGUGGGGAAUUUUCCGCAAUGGGCGAAAGCCUGACGGAGCAAGACCGCGUGAGGGAGGAAGGCUCUUGGGUUGUAAACCUCUUUUCUCAAGGAAGAAGCAAUGACGGUACUUGAGGAAUCAGCAUCGGCUAACUCCGUGCCAGCAGCCGCGGUAAUACGGAGGAUGCAAGCGUUAUCCGGAAUGAUUGGGCGUAAAGCGUCCGCAGGUGGCAGUUCAAGUCGGUCGUCAAAGACUCCAGCUUAACUGGAGAAAGGCGGUGGAAACUGAACCGCUAGAGUGCGGUAGGGGCAGAGGGAAUUCCCGGUGUAGCGGUGAAAUGCGUAGAGAUCGGGAAGAACACCAGUGGCGAAAGCGCUCUGCUGGACCGCAACUGACACUCAGGGACGAAAGCUAGGGGAGCGAAUGGGAUUAGAUACCCCAGUAGUCCUAGCCGUAAACGAUGGAUACUAGGUGUUGUGCGUAUCGACCCGCGCAGUGCCGCAGCUAACGCGCUAAGUAUCCCGCCUGGGGAGUACGCACGCAAGUGUGAAACUCAAAGGAAUUGACGGGGGCCCGCACAAGCGGUGGAGUAUGUGGUUUAAUUCGAUGCAACGCGAAGAACCUUACCAGGACUUGACAUGUCCGGGAUCUUUGGGAAACCAGAGAGUGCCUUCGGGAACCGGAACACAGGUGGUGCAUGGCUGUCGUCAGCUCGUGUCGUGAGAUGUUGGGUUAAGUCCCGCAACGAAGCGCAACCCUCGUUUCUAGUUGCCAGCAUUGAGUUGGGCACUCUGGAGAGACUGCCGGUG
rnacentral:rRNA from 1 species